rnacentral:lncRNA from 1 species
AAAUAUCAAUUAGGUAAAUUCUAUAUAAUAUCGUCUAUAUAUUUAAUAUUUUUAUAAAGAAGUGCAAUGGACAUUUUCUACGAUCUAAUUUAAUCUCAAAAAAGUAAUAUAAGUGUUAUUUAAAGAUGUUAAAAAGCGCCAGAUUUUGUUUCAAAUAUUCGCAGCAGAAAUCGAGAACACCUAGGAUAUUCAAAUAAUCGGCAGUGACCAACAACUGGCACACGUUCUCAUUGUUCACAUUGAUCGAUCUCAAGUAAGCGUAUUCGAGAAGCAGAUUCAUCAUGUUGCUGCUGACACCAGAUUUUUAAAGAUAUAAAAUAUUUUGAAGAAUAUAAGGAUAUAAAAGAUAAAAGGAUAUAAAAUAUAAAACUUUUGUUUAAGCGUUUAAUAAAGAGUUAAAGUUUUUAUAAAGAGAAAAUGUCAUUCAAGGCAUAGAUUGAACUCAUACUAGACAAGACCUAAAAUAUGGACUGCAAGCUGAUAAAAUGGCCCGGUGA